rnacentral:SRP_RNA from 1 species
CCCCGGGUCCACGUGACGUGCAUCCUGUGAACUCCCCCAGGGCCGGAAGGCAGCAAGGGUCAACAGGCUCUGACGGGUGCGUGGGCCCGCUUUCU